GCCCGCGGCGCAUUAGCUAGUUGGUGGGGUAAAGGCUUACCAAGGCAAUGAUGCGUAGCCGAACUGAGAGGUUGAUCGGCCACAUUGGGACUGAGACACGGCCCAAACUCCUACGGGAGGCAGCAGUAGGGAAUCUUCCACAAUGGGCGAAAGCCUGAUGGAGCAACGCCGCGUGGGUGAAGAAGGUCUUCGGAUCGUAAAACCCUGUUGUUAGAGAAGAAAGUGCGUGAGAGUAACUGUUCACGUUUCGACGGUAUCUAACCAGAAAGCCACGGCUAACUACGUGCCAGCAGCCGCGGUAAUACGUAGGUGGCAAGCGUUAUCCGGAUUUAUUGGGCGUAAAGGGAACGCAGGCGGUCUUUUAAGUCUGAUGUGAAAGCCUUCGGCUUAACCGGAGUAGUGCAUUGGAAACUGGGAGACUUGAGUGCAGAAGAGGAGAGUGGAACUCCAUGUGUAGCGGUGAAAUGCGUAGAUAUAUGGAAGAACACCAGUGGCGAAAGCGGCUCUCUGGUCUGUAACUGACGCUGAGGUUCGAAAGCGUGGGUAGCAAACAGGAUUAGAUACCCUGGUAGUCCACGCCGUAAACGAUGAAUGCUAAGUGUUGGAGGGUUUCCGCCCUUCA
rnacentral:rRNA from 1 species